CACAAACUGUCCUGGAUUUCCUCUUCAUAGACCCCUUUACAGAAUCACUGCACUCAAAGAGUCCCAAAACGUAUCUGUGAUAGGAAUUUUAUAAGACGAGGUCCUCUGGAAAACAUUAAUUCCAUCAAAAGGAAUGUUUGAGAAUUAACCAAUCCAUUAAGCUGCUUCUAUGAGUUUAUAUCUAGGUAAUGUACUACAGCUCAGAAUCAGCACAGCCCUACACAAAUGCACAACUUGGGAGAAAACACGGGUGUCAAAUAAAUAAAUAAAUAUUGGAAACAACA